rnacentral:snRNA from 1 species
AUGUAUCAAGGAUUAAAAUCAU